GUUUGGGAAUGCUGCUCUAAAUGGGAGGUAAAUUUCUUCUAAAGCUAAAUACCGGCCAGAGACCGAUAGCGCACAAGUAGAGUGAUCGAAAGAUGAAAAGCACUUUGAAAAGAGGGUUAAAUAGCACGUGAAAUUGUUGAAAGGGAAGCGUUUACGACCAGACCUUUUCCUGGCGGAUCAUCCGGUGUUCUCACCGGUGCACUUCGCCUGGUUUAGGCCAGCAUCGGUUUCUGUAGGGGGAUAAAAGCUUGGGGAACGUAGCUCUCUUCGGAGAGUGUUAUAGCCCUUUGCAUAAUACUUCUACAGGGACCGAGGACCGCGCUUUGCAAGGAUGCUGGCAUAAUGGUCGUCAACGACCCGUCUUGAAACACGGACCAAGGAGUCGAACAUUUGUGCGAGUGUUUGGGUGUUAAACCCUCACGCGUAAUGAAAGUGAACGGAGGUGAGAGCCCUUACGGGUGCAUCAUCGACCGAUCCUGAUGUCUUCGGAUGGAUUUGAGUAAGAGCAUAACUGUUCGGACCCGAAAGAUGGUGAACUAUGCGUGGAUAGGGUGAAGCCAGAGGAAACUCUGGUGGAGGCUCGCAGCGGUUCUGACGUGCAAAUCGAUCGUCAAAUCUGCGCAUGGGGGCGAAAGACUAAUCGAACCAUUGAAACCAGCGGUAAAUUUGAUUUACUAGGUGGUUAAGAGGCCUUCGUGACGAAGGCCUAGGCCGACCUACCCGGUAAAGUCUUACCCUGUAA
rnacentral:rRNA from 1 species